rnacentral:lncRNA from 1 species
GAGACUUACUAUCAAAUAUUCAGCAUGAAUCUGUUAGGACCUGUGUUUAUGUAUAAGAAAACAUCAUAGAGUAUAUAGACUAAUGAAUGAGAUUUGUGUCACCAUAAAAUCAUCAUGAGAGAUUGACGUUAGAGUGUGCCAUUACUCCCACACACUCCUGUUCCAGGUCACGUUAGAAAGGAGACUGAAGUUGUAUGUGGAUUGCAGGUCUCAGGAUGACUGAAGGCAUUUACUUGGUUGGCACUAUGUUAAUUCCGUGAUAAGAACUAAUUUACUGAAGGGUUUGUGUUUUGAGGUAAUUUAGUUUUUUUGCUUAUUCAGGGGACCUCUAUUUGGGAUAUAGAAUGUUUACAUUUAUCUGUAUUGCUCUGUAAAAAAUAGUGCACUGAUCUAAGUUGUCCGGUAGAGGGCAGCCAGUUGGCAAAAAGGCUUGACAGUUUUCAUGGCUUUGCCAGGUGAUUGGGGGCAAGACUGUUGAACCUAAUUUCUAGUUAAUGUGUAAUCCGGAAAGCAGCUGUGUUGACACACUGGAGGAUGUGCAUAGUUUAAAAUUAAUCAUGCAGGGACACAGUUUUACAAAUUGUGAGCAGAUGAGUCUCAGCUCUUCAGUCCUGUCAUUUCUGGUUCUUGCGCCUCAUCCUGGGCAUUGUGAUCCAUACCUGCUGUCUCAGCGCUCAGGACACCUGAGCAGGAAGAGUGAACCAGGAGUCCACAACUAGACUGCACUGCAAAAGAACUUAUCCCAAAAAGAUUCUAGAGCCCUACCCAGUGUGGGGACCACGCAGCACCAACUUACCCAUCUCCCAACCCUCACUUCUCGUCUCUAUGUGCUUUUAGUUUGGGUUUUGUUUUGGUUUUUUUGUUUUGUUUUGUUUUUUUUCCAGGCCUGGGGAUCAUUCCCCUUGCUUGUGCACUCAAGGCAUGGGCUUUGCUGAGCUGCAUCUCUCCAGCAUUCAUUGAGUGUUCAUAAUGUAUUUCCCAAAUUGAAAGUAUUCAGAGCUAAUGGUUGAAAACUAGUAUCCAAUUUUAUGUGUAUUCCGUGCCAUCACAUACACACAAAAAGAGUGCAGCUGUCACUGGUGAUGUUAGCCUGGCUAUUGCUUGAGCUAACAUUUGACCUUUUUCUUACAUAUUUUAUCUCAAACUUUUUUUUGAAGCUGGGUCUCACUAUGUAGAUCUGCCUAGCCUGGAACUUGCAGAGAUCAGUGUGUCUGUCUAUGCCUCCAAAGUGCUGAGAUGAAGGGAUAGCCCACCUCACUCAGCCCCACAGCAGUCUUAAAUUCCAACCAGAAGCACACAUGGCAGCACUCCUAGCAUUGAGGAAGUGGAAACAAGCAGACUGAAAGUUUAAGACUGUGUGGGCUACAGAGUGAGAUUGUCUCACCUCUGGGGGAAAAAUUACAGUAAAAUGCUACUCUGUUGUUGUCCUGCUUUUGAGAUUGACUGUGUCACUCAGGCUGACCUGCCUCAGGCUCCGGGGCUUGCAGCUGUGCACCACUGCAUCUGGCUCCUUUUUAACUCUUUAGCUAGAGUGUGCUCUAGAGGAGCCUCAGCCAUGUGAGCCAUGGAAGAAGCUGUGGAACAACACGGUGCAGUGCUGACCACUUGUCUUCUGCGCAAGAGUGUGAAUUGUGGACAUGCCCUUCCUCAGCAUGCCUUGCAGUGAGGUCAUGCAGGGAAUAGUCACAGAGCACUGUGGACAGUGGCUUAUGCACAGUACAGCCUUAGGAAAACACCUUAUAUCUUGAAAACUGGGCCGUAUUAUUUAUGAACAAUGUCAGUGGGAAAGAAAAAAGAUGUGUUCUAGCUUUGCCUGGUAAUUGGUGACUGAAAGAACAUAGUAGUAGAUAUUUACAGGAGAAGUAUGUUGAAUUUAUUGUUGGCUGGUAUUCAUUCGAGAUGACAGAAUGCUUAUUACUUCUAUGAAAUCAAAAAUAAACUUGAAUUUGAA